UAUUUGAAAAAUACAUGCGUGAUUGAUGGAUGAAUCCUAAUCCCAUUAAGCUUUCUCAUAUUUGAAACUCUACUUAUUAUUUGCCAUUUUUACAUUAUAUACUUUAUGCAAACAAAUAAUUUGACAACUUCUCACUUAAACCUUAUCAACUAUUGAACGACAUUUAAUAUUGCAUAAGUCCGUCUGGAUAUGAUAUAAAAAAUACUUACUUUUGAUGUUGAACACUACAACCAUCAGGGAUCUAGGGCUUGGUUGCUAC
rnacentral:lncRNA from 1 species